GAUGAACGCUGGCGGCGUGCUUAACACAUGCAAGUCGAACGGAAAGGCCCAAGCUUGCUUGGGUACUCGAGUGGCGAACGGGUGAGUAACACGUGGGUGAUCUGCCCUGCACUUCGGGAUAAGCCUGGGAAACUGGGUCUAAUACCGGAUAGGACCACUUCUUGGAUGUUGUGGUGGAAAGUUUUUUGGGUGUGGGGUGAGCUCGCGGCCUAUCAGCUUGUUGGUGGGGUAAUGGCCUACCAAGGCGUCGACGGGUAGCCGGCCUGUGAGGGUGUACGGCCACAUUGGGACUGAGGUACGGCCCAGACUCCUACGGGAGGCAGCAGGGGGGAAUAUUGCACAAUGGGCGCAAGCCUGAUGCAGCGACGCCGCGUGGGGGAUGACGGCCUUCGGGUUGUAAACUCCUUUCGCUAGGGACGAAGCGUUUUGUGACGGUACCUGGAGAAGAAGCACCGGCUAACUACGUG
rnacentral:rRNA from 1 species